GGCACUGAUUGCCAGGAAAGCAACUUCCAAUAUAGAAUGUGGAAUUUCCGCCAUAUUUCUUUCUGUGCCAUCAUUGUUACCAACAUUUUUGAAUAAUUGAUCAUGGGAAUCAUAUUUAUGCCCUUGCCACUUGGUGUUAUUAAUACUGGUAACAAAGAAAUAUCAAUUGAAUCAGUAAGUAGGCUGCUUAACACACAACUUUCCAAGAUGGCGGCUUUAUCAUUUGGAUAUUUAAUGUUUAUGACCUCAUUUGUAGUAUUUGUGUUGUAAUCAUUUUAAAGUCAUCAGUAUAAUGACAAUAAUCAUAUUUGUAGUUAAGUUUUAGAUUAAACAUCAAUUUAAAGCAA